rnacentral:rRNA from 2 species
UGAGGAAUAUUGGUCAAUGGACGAGAGUCUGAACCAGCCAAGUAGCGUGAAGGAUGAAGGUUCUAUGGAUUGUAAACUUCUUUUAUACGGGAAUAAACGAAUCCACGCGUGGAUUUUUGCAUGUACCGUAUGAAUAAGGAUCGGCUAACUCCGUGCCAGCAGCCGCGGUAAUACGGAGGAUCCGAGCGUUAUCCGGAUUUAUUGGGUUUAAAGGGAGCGUAGAUGGGUUGUUAAGUCAGUUGUGAAAGUUUGCGGCUCAACCGUAAAAUUGCAAUUGAUACUGGCAGUCUUGAGUACAGUUGAGGUAGGCGGAAUUCGUGGUGUAGCGGUGAAAUGCUUAGAUAUCACGAAGAACUCCGAUUGCGAAGGCAGCUUACUAACCUGUAACUGACAUUGAUGCUCGAAAGUGUGGGUAUCAAACAGGAUUAGAUACCCUGGUAGUCCACACGGUAAACGAUGAAUACUCGCUGUAGGCGAUAUACGGUCUGCGGCCAAGCGAAAGCAUUAAGUAUUCCACCUGGGGAGUACGCCGGCAACGGUGAAACUCAAAGGAAUUGACGGGGGCCCGCACAAGCGGAGGAACAUGUGGUUUAAUUCGAUGAUACGCGAGGAACCUUACCCGGGCUUAAAUUGCAACCGAAUAUGGCGGAAACGCCAUAGCUAGCAAUAGCGGUUGUGAAGGUGCUGCAUGGUUGUCGUCAGCUCGUGCCGUGAGGUGUCGGCUUAAGUGCCAUAACGAGCGCAACCCUUGCCGAUAGUUACUAACAGGUUAUGCUGAGGACUCUGUCGGGACUGCCAUCGUAAGAUGUGAGGAAGGUGGGGAUGACGUCAAAUCAGCACGGCCCUUACGUCCGGGGCUACACACGUGUUACAAUGGGGGGUACAGAGGGCUGCUACCACGCAAGUGGAUGCCAAUCCCAAAAACCUCUCUCAGUUCGGAUUGAAGUCUGCAACCCGACUUCAUGAAGCUGGAUUCGCUAGUAAUCGCGCGUCAGCCACGGCGCGGUGAAUACGUUCCC